ACAUUUAGUGAAAUGACUUACAGUCUCUCAUAUGAUGCUAACCUUUUUGUAAUUCAGGUCCUCCCUUAGGCAAAAUGAGGUCCCUUUCUGAAGGAAACAGAAGUUAAAAAAUACAGGUCAGAAAGAGCGCCAGCUAUGUGUCUCUCAAUGGCCUCACUUUGUAAUACUGCCACACUGGGGGGUUGAACUUCCAACAUACGGAUUGGGGGAGGGCACAGACAUUCAAAUCAUAAUACCCAUUACUCUUAGGGAACAAAUUAUGUUCCAAGAGACUCUGGAAUAACAUCUAUAUAAACACAUUUAUUCAAUGGGAGGCCAGGGGUUUAAUGGAAAUGAAUGGCUACGCAGAAGCUGACAGACACUGAGAACUGGCCUGAAGGGGAGAAAAUAGGACUGAAUGGAAGACAGUCUUACCGGUAUUUAUAUCUACGCUUUUAAUCACAUGCACUCUCGUCAGUAAGAAUAUGUCACCAGGAGCAGGUUGGGUCCACACCAUGUGCCCGAGAGAAGGUCCACGUGGAUGAAUGAAGCAGAAAAGGUUAAGAAGGCAGAUCUGUGAGAAGGAGCCUCACUCGUGAAAUCACCAACAUCAUACACGGGACAGCUACAUUAAUGAUUGAACCUGGCUCCCAGUUGUGCAAAUCACGUAACAAAUAAACAUCACACGAAAGGACUCAUAAUGGUGACUGGACUAAGUAAGAGGAGCCCGAUCGCACACCGGUUUAGACACUGGGGUCUUAUGUCAAGUAGUCUGGCUUCAAGUCUCAGCAAUGCCAUUUAGCUCUGACCUACUCCUGUCUUAACCUCUGAAGCCCAUUUUCAAAUGUGUGAAAUGGGGAUAAUACUAGUAAUCACCACGAGCUUGGUUGUCUGGAUUACAAGAGGUGAUUCACGUAACUAGGUUAGCACAGCGCCUGGAAUAGGACGGACAGCUAAUCUCUGUUGUGGUGGUGGUGGUAUGCCCGGCAGACGUUUGCGUGGACACUUCGUAGUCUGGAUUAGAAAGAUCGGCAUUGGGGGCUAAUACUUUCAGAAGUAUGUAGCUAAAGCCCGUGAACGUUAGUGUCUGAGCUGCUGAGCCUCACACAAUCCCAGAAACUUACAUGACAUGUUCCUAACACAGUCUGUCAUCUUCUCAAGGGUGAAUUGCAAGAAGAAAAAGCCUCUUAAGGGCCAGUGGAUAUAGGCAGGGGAGGGGCAGUAAAAAUACAAUGUGAAGACUACUGUUUGGAGCUGCUUUCCUCUCAAGGAUGAGGGAGGGCGGCCUGGGGCCAUGACUCAGUCUCAGGUGUGUUGCCCAAUGGAGGAGCUCAAGGAGGGCCUUCGUAGGAGUUUCUGAGAGAGGCUGAAGAGCUCAGCUUGAAUCAGUCUGUCAACGAACACCUUCGUAGCACUGGCCUCUACGAGAUGCGGAUGCAGUUUGGGGAACAGAUCUGCACGGCCGUGGUUCCAGGACAUGAAUAGCAAGGCACCGGUCAGCUGUGUGUGAGCAGUGC